UACAGAGGUCUCAAGCGUUGUUCGGAUUCAUUGGGCGUAAAGGGUGCGUAGGCGGCUCGGUAAGUCGGGUGUGAAAUCUCGGAGCUUAACUCCGAAACUGCAUUCGAUACUACCGUGCUUGAGGACUGGAGAGGAGACUGGAAUUUACGGUGUAGCGGUGAAAUGCGUAGAUAUCGUAAGGAAGACCAGUGGCGAAGGCGGGUCUCUGGACAGUUCCUGACGCUGAGGCACGAAGGUCAGGGGAGCAAACGGG
rnacentral:rRNA from 1 species